rnacentral:rRNA from 1 species
UACGUAGGUGGCAAGCGUUGUCCGGAUUUACUGGGCGUAAAGGGCGCGUAGGCGGUCGUGACAAGUCACUUGUGAAAUCUCCGGGCUUAACUCGGAACGGUCAAGUGAUACUGUCGGACUAGAGUACAGAAGGGGCAACUGGAAUUCUCGGCGUAGCGGUGAAAUGCGUAGAUAUCGAGAGGAACACCUGCGGCGAAGGCGGGUUGCUGGGCUGAUACUGACGCUGAGGCGCGAAAGCCAGGGGAGCGAACGGG